CUCAUUUGGGGCCUGUUAUUCUUUUUUUUUUUUGAGACAGAGUCUCGCUCUGUUGCCCAGGCUGGAGUGCAGUGGCGCAAUCGCGGCUCACUGCAACCUCCGCCUCCCCAGUUCAAGCGAUUCCUGUACCUCAGCCUCCUGGUUACUCCUUAAAUUGCCUAUAUCUUCCUUUUUCAAUUGGAAUGUCUGUCCUAUGCCUGUCCCACCACUGUAUUUACGAAAAAUGUAUUAUACCAAUUUCACAGGCUCACAGCUGAAGAGAAAUCUGCCUCAGAAUGAAUUGUCUUGAGUUUCAUCCAUAUCUGAUUUAGAUGAGACUCUAGACUUUGAACUUUUAAGCUGAUGUUUGAACAAGCGCUUUGAAUACAACACACCAUUUUAUCCUGGCUUGUAAGGUUUCUGAGGAGA
rnacentral:lncRNA from 1 species